GCCGUCCUGUUCCAGGAGGCAGCUUUCCACCACGGCCCGCAGCUCCUGUUCCUGUGACACCAGGCCCCGCAUGGCCUCCACCUCCUCACAGCGCUGCAGCGGGAGAGGCAGCAGCAGGGAGUGAGAGGACACGGAUCAGCACCUGCUCUAUGUGGAGGUUCCGUGGGCCGUCCUUCUACCAAGACUGUCUGCUAGAAAGAUCCCAGCUUUGAAGGGGGAGAGUAGCCCCCAGGAUCCUGGGACAGAAGACAGAAAGCAUCGUAAGGAGUCGUGACCUUCCCACCCUGCCUGGCUGCUGCUUUCACUAGACAGGGAGCUGGGGCUGCUAGGGAUGCUCUCAAAGGUGGACAGUGGAAAAUGUCAGGGUGCCCUGAGCACAGCAGUGUCUGCUGGGCCAGCUCGGGGCCUCGGGACCCAGGCUGCCUGCACCUGAGCUGGGAGCAGCUGCAGAAGUGGACAGCUGACAGCAGGGAGAAAGCUGGCCACUGGACAGGAAGGGUCUCCACCCAAAUGCUGGGAGCUGCACCUCAGCUGGUUCCUGGGCAUCGUAGCCAGAGGCCUUGGGACUCACGUGAUGCCGAUUUCCUUCAGGUCGCUCUCAGUGAGGGUCAAAAAGAUGCGGAGGUCCACGUCCUGCUCCUCAAACACCUGCAGGUAUUUGAGGCAGCCAAUCUGCUCCAGCAGUGUGGCGAGGUCCUAGAGGGUGAGGAGCCAGGGCAGGUCAGAAGACAGGCAGGCCACGAAGACGUGGGGGCAGGAAAAGGCCUGUGCUGCACACAGAGCUGCCUUUCUCCUGCUGAGCACCUGGCCUGUCCUGAGCUCUGCUGACUCCCAAGUUCGGCAGAGAGCCUGGGCUGCCCCCUGUGUGUCCUCAGGCAGGGCAGGCAGGGCGUCUCUGGACCAGUGUCUUCACUGCAGCAGCAAGCACACCCUGUGGCAGGUCUGCGGCAGCAGCUCCUCUCGGUCUCUGCUGACCCGGGACUCUUCAUUUUUCCUUCACUCUGGGGGACAGUCUUUGCUGGACGCUGCACUGUUGGUUAACAUGUCGUCCAUGUCUUCUGGUCCCUGUGGUUUCUGAUGAGAAAUACGCUGUUAAUUGUCUGGAGAUCCCGUUGUACGUGCUGAGUCACUUGUCUCUUGCUCCAAGAUUCUUUGUUUAGUGACACUCUGAUUGUGAUGUGUCCAGGUGUGGCUCUGAAUUUAACAAACUUAGAGCUCAUUCAGCUUCUUGGAUGUGCAGAUUCAUUUUUUGAUCAAAUCUGAGAAGAUUUGGCUUUUUUUUUUUUUCACUGAAAACUUUUUUUUUGGCCUUUUGGAUAGAAAUGGGAAUUUAUUUGCCAGGAAGGAUGAUCCCAUGGGACCAGUGCCGGGCCUCCUCUUCGCUAAUUCUGUGUUUGGUCACAAUGCAGUCUGCCCUGCACUUCUUGCCUGCGAUGCUGAAACCUGGCCUCCCCAGCACCACGUAGAGGUCCAGGCUGUAGGUACCAAUGCCUGGUAGUUUGAUCCCCAGAUCGACGUGUUCUUGGAUCCCCAAAUCAAAAUUUCCAGUAUCUGAGAGAUUAUUUUUUCUUAACUUGCAUUCUCGCACCUUUAGAUGUUUCUCCAGGAUUUCUUCUGCCUUGGCCCCACGGACUGUGCAGUGUACAGCAGUCUUUUCAUUUCCCCUGAUAAGAUUUGGCUAUUUUAAAACAUUUUUUCUACUUUUCCCUCCCUCCUCCCCAGGAACACCAUUACGUGCACGCUGUUACACUUGCUGGUGUCUCACAGGUUUCUGUUCAUUUUUCCUCAUUCUUCUUUAUCGUAUUGGAUAACCUCAAGUGAUCUAUGUUAAGUCUUCUGGUUCUCUCUUCUGUGUGCUCAAACCUGCUGUUGAGCCCCUCUAGUAAAAUUUUCAUCUCAGUUAUUGUACUUUCAGUUCCAGAAUUUCUAUUUGGUUCAUUUUUAUUUCUAUCACUUUAUUGAUAUUCUGUAUUUAGACAUGGUUUCCUUUAGCUCUUGGAACAUAUUUUAUUCCUUUCUUUGUUUCUGUUUUACAAACCCUGUGUCAAGGGCUGACUUUCAGGAGAUGGCAGUGACGGAGCUGCUCUGCUACGUAGGAAACCCCGACCCAGAAGCAGGUAGCUUCGCCCCACCGGCUCCUCUGCCAAGCACAUACACCAAAUCUUGGAACAUAUUUAAAGAAGCUGAUUUAAAGGCUCCAAUCGGCAUGUGUUUAAGGCUCAGGGAGGCUGAGCUGAGCAUGGAAACCAGGGGGAGAGACGGAUCCCUCCAUGGAAAGGAAUGAACAGAAGCCCGGCAACUGGCUCCUCUCACCAUUAGGAAUCCUCUCAGCCCGAGUAGCUUUCUAGGUCGUGUGGAGAAAACCACCCCACUCUUUUCUCUCAACAGUGCCAGCCCCAUGGGAAGUACAAAUAACUGCCUCA